AAUAAGGCUUUCCAGCACCUUGAUCUUCAUAAAUAGAUGUUUCCUCUUCAGGUGCUGCAUAAUUGAAGAAAUCUCCCACAGGGCAUAAACAUCCAGCUUCAUCCCAAGGUAUAUGCAUGGUCCGCGAGGAUAUAGAACCAGAGGCCCAGAGCCAUGCCUUAAGAGCGAGGAAUUGUGGCUUGAGCUUCAGUUCAUGCAUAAGCUGAGUCACUUCAUUCCACUCCUGUUCAGCCUUCCUAGAAGCCUUUUGUGCAGCCCAUAUGGCAUCAUCAAUUUGCAAUGCUUGUAUCUCGAAUUUGCCAAAAUCCGCAAG
rnacentral:misc_RNA from 1 species